rnacentral:lncRNA from 1 species
GGUUCCAACAAAGGACCGAGGCCCCAGAAGCGGCCCCCACGCGUCCUUUGUUUCUGCGUGGAACAAACUUUACACACGUGUGUGUUUUCCGAGGGUUUCCCGUGUGCUGAGCGCUUGCAAAGCGGAGUCGCGCCCGGGGAGACGCGAAGCCGGUGCCCGCGGCUCACCCAGGGACCCCAGCCAGACAGCGGCACCCGCGGGGCGCGUGCGGGACCCCCAGGCGACCGGGGGAAGCACCGGUAACCGCCCCCCACCCGUGCUUUUUCUCUCACGGAGAAUGUUCCCGCGCGUUCGUUGUGCAACUAAAAAUUAAUGUGAAACAUCCAUUGAGGCAAAUAACAAAAUGCAUCCAACGAAACCCACAUAAAAUCGAGAGAGCCGCGAGCAGGGCUGGGCGAGUUCACUGUGAGGACCGGCUCUGGCUUCCGCGCAGCGCGGAGAGCAGGGCGCUCGCCCGGGGACGCUUCGCAGCGGUGGAAGAUUCGGGCGACAGGGGACUGGGUCGCCGCGCGGGCCGGGCUGGAGGCUGCAGGGACUUGCUGACAGGCCAUCCAAAGACAGAGAGGCCCUGGGGAGGGAAAUUCGGGGAGCCCGUGUGCUUAGCGUAGCGCCCCGGGAAAUAUUUGCCCAAUAAGGGAGAGUUUGUCCCCACACUGCGGCAGAACCCCCCUGCGAGCUCUGACCCCAGCAGCACGGCCAAGCCCCCCCAACCCCGCUCCCCCCUUUAGGGGACAGGUAUUUGUAAAUAACAACUGAGCUGGUCGUCGGUAGGAGAAUCAGAUUAGAAACAUGGUCCCCACUCUCUUCCUAUCUCCCCAGCACUCAUCACCUCACAAAGCAGGGGGGGACCUGUUUACUUUUCCUGGCGCUCUCCCCCAGGCUAGAACGUGAUCUUCUUCCUACGCAGGGACAGUGUUUUAUUCAUCUUUGUACCCACUGCCAUCUCAUCUGGCUUGGAACAGGCUCCGGAUAAAUAUUUUUUAAAUAUGUGCAUGAAUUAAUGAGAGACUCGAGAUUUAGUCCCCAAACUCUCUGACCUCCCUCGAGUGACUUUAAGCCUUUAGAGCCCUUAUCUGUUAAGAAAAAAAGAAAAAAAUGUGGGUUUUUCGUAAUCCUCGUAAUCCGCGCCCUGUCUACUUCUCUGGGGUUAUUGUGAAGAUCAAAUAAGGUACUGUGAAAUUGUGCAGGACAUUCACAGAUGAACAAGUCACAGGGCAAGUUGGACACAUCAAUAGCUCAUGCGUUGAUGUGGACCUAUGAUGGCUUCAGAGACUAUUAACUUGGCCAGGCUCAACUGCAUUUCCUGGAAUUAUCUUUCCUGCAUGUUUGCAGUUCAGAUGGACCACAGGGAAGAUUCUUGGAAGGUUCUUGCAAGAUUCAGAAGGCAAGAGAGGCUGCAGCCGUGUUUUGCAGUUGACACACGUUGCUGCUGAUCUGCUGACUCACCUCACUGGAGUGAAGCAGCCUGCCACAACACCCGCAACCUUCCCCGGCAACUUCUUGCUACUUUUCGACUCCCAGCCGCGUGUAUGUGUUCAGCUCUGUGAUGAAGGGCUAGGCUUCUGCAGGACAGCCUCACCACUGUGGUCAGAGGCAACAAGAAUAGCCACGGGCUUCAGGCUGCCAUCCUGGGGCUCUAGCUUGUGCUCGUGGGUUCUUGCUCUCCCUACUUGACAUCUGCCUUUCCUCUCGACUGCCUAUCCUGUGGACCUGACACCAGCAUCAGACUUGACACGCAGCCUGACAAAGACUGCUUACCCGGUUCCCACAAAUGCAUAAGCCAAUUCUCCAUAACAAAUCCCAUAAAAUAAUUUACAUGUAUAUAACUCCUAUUUCCACUUUUCCAGUUGAACUCCGGCAGAUUUACCCAUCCUGUGCUAGGCACUGUUGAGGACUCUGAGGAUACAAUGAUGAACAAAACCAGUGUAAUUCCUGUCUUCCUCUCCCCCACCCCACCAUUCACUUUCUAGGAGGAGGAAUCAGAAAAUAAACAACGAAUAAACAAUGCAAUCCCAGAGAGUGAUAAAUGCCAGGAGAAAACCAAAAAGAGUGGCCUGCUCGGACCAGGGGUAGUCCAGGGAUGCUUCUCAGAACAAAUGGCAUUUGAGCUGAGCCCUGAAGGGAAGGAGGGGACAGCUAUGCAGGAGCACUCUGGACAAGACGCACUUCAGGGCGAUGCUCCUAGGUGGCAUGAGCCUGGAGUCUUCGAGGAACAGAAAGGAGCCAGGCGGACCGGAGGGCCUUGAGGAGGGAGAGUGCGCAGGGUAAGCUGGAACCCAAGGCUGGCUCCAACUUUGUUGGGCUUGGAAGACAAAGCAGGGAGUUCGGAUUUUACUCUAAGAGCAUCCUGGAGUUAAGGGAUCUUUCAAAGCUGGCUGAGUGAAAGCCCACACACAACUUUGCCUUUGAAAAGUGGGGAUAAAAUGUGGUCUUGCUCUGUGUGUGUGUGUGUGCGUUGGGGUGGGGGGCGAUUUGUGUCUUGGUUUUUGCCUCGGCGUGACUUACAGACCUUUCCAUCCUGCAUCGGUGCCGGGAGAGCCCAGCUCCCUGCUGCUGUCACCAGAAUUCCAUCUUUCCAAGGAAAUCAGGCUUUCUCCUGCUAAGGAGUUCUGUCCAGGACUCUGAUAAAAGCAGUAUGUGAAGCUAAAUAACUCGUGUGAUUUUACACUUCAUUUCCUUGGGAUGCCAUUAGGAACAUCAAGCACUUCUGUCUUUAUUUGACACGAUUUCCUACCCUGUUCUGCCUUGGAACAGAAGAAAAAUGAAAAGAGAGAAAUGGUAUUGGGAAGUUGCAUUGGGAGUGGUAGGGCAGCUGUUUCAAGGCAGGGCUUUUGGAGUCCAGCAGAGGGAGAGGCUUCCGAAACAGGACAGAUGGCAGCCACCUUCCUAAGGGGUCACUGGUCAGCCUCACGUUCUCUGGCUCCUGUUCCAAGCCUCAGCAUUUCUGUCUAAUUGAUUUAGAAAUAGUGUAUUUAUUGGACAGAUGCCUAGAGAUCAUGUAGCCCAGAGAAGGGAAGCUGUUUGCCCAAGGUCACACAGCAGCUCAGUAGCAUAGUUUGGCCUUGCAGCUAGCUCUUUCGACUGCCAGAGCAGCCUGGAGCACCCCUUAGAGAAGAGUUAGUGUCUUCCCCAGGUCCCCUAUAAAGACCAGCACCUCCUGCAUUUGGUUCUCUGGGACAAUUGGUGUCUUUUCUCACUGUGGAGAUGUGAUCACUUAGAUCUUCAUUUAGUUCACAAGCAGGGGUGGAGCAGGGUGGGGUGCACAGGCUGGAGGGAACCAACGCAGGAAGCAUAUGACAGAGUAAAAACACAGCCCACCCGGCAUGCCGUGCCAUGUGCCCUCACUGCAUUGGAUGAAUGGGUCAGUAGGUGGAUGGUGGUCACACGUGAGUGCUGGCUUCACUCUCUUCUCUCCCAUAAUUUAAAGACCUGAAGUUUCACCUCCAGGAAGACUUCCUGGACUAGUGGAAGAUCAAUCUUUGGCCUGAACCGGUUGCCUAGGCAACUUCCACUGUUUCUGGACUCAUGAGUCCUUCUAGUAAGGGUCCCAGGACUGAGCCUCAAUGGCCUGAAGAGAGUCAUGUGCCCACACCUGUGACUACUUAGUGGCUAUCACCAGGGGUGUGAGGCUCAUCUGGUCUAGCCUGGUCACCUGCUCACGACAGAGCUAGAGCUGGACCAGGCCCUCCAGAUUUGUAGACUGAAGCAGCAAGGUGCUGUUCUGAGGAAAAUCAGGGUGCUGUUACCAGAACACCCUGGCAAGCAAGAAAGAGCAGCGAGCCCUACAGACGGCAAACAAGGAUUUCCUUAUCUCCUGGUCGGAACCACUAAGAACCGUGGAACCAUGUGUACUUAAUUCAUGUCUGUACUGUCCUCACGCGGAGUGAGGGCUUUGUAAAUAUUUGCUGAGUGAAUGAAAGAAUAAAUGAAUAGUAAAUGAAUGAAUGAACCUCCCGAGUGAUAAAGGCAGUCUUUACGGUGGGCACGAGGCAGGGACUACUGUGCGCAGGGAACGGCCGCGGGCUCCACACUUGCUGUGAUUGGCCGGCGAGACAAUCUCGGGUGCCCAGGCUGUUUGGACAGCACGCAGGCCCACAGCAGGCAGGAUGGCACCCCUGCCAAGGGCACUUGGGCUUGAAGUUAGAGCAGGGAGGCUGGCGUGCUGGUGGCAGGGCUGAGGCUCAGGGUGCAGCUCAGUGUGAAAUGAGGGCUGCUCUUCUCAGACCUGUC